rnacentral:rRNA from 1 species
GGUGCCGCACAGGUGCUGCAUGGGUGUCGUCAGUUCGUGCCGUGAGGUGUUUGGUUAAGUCCAGCAACGAACGCAACCCCUGUGUCCAGUUGCCAUCUCGUGAUGGCGGGAACUCUGGACAGACCGCCCGUUCACGCCGGAGGAAGGUGGGGACGACGUCAAGUCAGUAUGGCCCUUACCCCCGGGGCUGCACACGUGCUACAAUGGCCGGUACAGAGGGAAGCAAGGCCCCAAGGCGGAGCCAACCCCCAAAACCGGCCCCAAUUCGAAUCCGGGUCUGCACACCCACCCCUUGAAGUCUGAUUUUCUAGUAACGGCGCAUCCGCUACCGGGCCCUGAAUACCUUCCCCGGUUUG